UCUGUAACUACUUGAUUAGAGAGUCAGUCAUUCUUUAACUACUUAAUUCUUCAUUCUUACUCCUUUUAAUCCAGGAAAGGAAUCAACAGAUUAGGCAAAGC